rnacentral:lncRNA from 1 species
UCUCGCUGUGCUCCCCUUCCUAAUUAAGCAGAAGUGCUAAUGAGCGAAGCGGGUGCGGGCUUGGAUGCUUUGGGGUGAUGCAGUCGGGGGGGCGGCUGCCCUACAGCCCAUCGAUGCGUAUUGUAGGACCACCACGGGGACCCCCAGGUGGUCUUCAGCCCCACAGCGCUGUCGUUUGGGAGCUGUGGGGCUGAGCGUGGGGAUGUGGAGAGGCUGUUUUGGGGGGCAGGGAGUGGGGAUUUGGGGGCAGGGAGUGGGGAUUUGGGGGCAGAAAGUGGGGAUUUGGGGGUGGGAUGUGGAAAUAGAGCCUGGGAGGAGCACGGGGUUUGGGGCUGAGGGCUUUGGGGCUGAAUUUGGGUACAUGGGGCGCUUUGGGGAUGGAUUUGGGGGUUUGGGGCUGGAUGUGGGGAUUUGGGGCUGGCUUUGGGUUUUUGGAGACAUUUCUGUUUUGGGAUGGAACGUGGGUUUUUGGAGACAUCCUGGUUUUGGGCCUGGAUAUGGAGUUUUGGGGCUGGCUUUGGGUUUUUGGAGACAUUCCUGUUUUGGGGCUGAAUGUGGGGGUUUGGAGACAUCCCUGUAUACUUGGAGAUAUCCCCAUUUGGGGGCUGGAUGUGGGGAUUUGGGGGCUGGAUGUGGGGAUUUGGGGCUGGAUGUGGGGAUUU